rnacentral:rRNA from 1 species
GAGAGUUUGAUCCUGGCUCAGGAUGAACGCUGGCGGCGUGCCUAAUACAUGCAAGUCGAGCGAACAGACGAGGAGCUUGCUCCUCUGACGUUAGCGGCGGACGGGUGAGUAACACGUGGAUAACCUACCUAUAAGACUGGGAUAACUUCGGGAAACCGGAGCUAAUACCGGAUAAUAUAUUGAACCGCAUGGUUCAAUAGUGAAAGACGGUUUUGCUGUCACUUAUAGAUGGAUCCGCGCCGCAUUAGCUAGUUGGUAAGGUAACGGCUUACCAAGGCAACGAUGCGUAGCCGACCUGAGAGGGUGAUCGGCCACACUGGAACUGAGACACGGUCCAGACUCCUACGGGAGGCAGCAGUAGGGAAUCUUCCGCAAUGGGCGAAAGCCUGACGGAGCAACGCCGCGUGAGUGAUGAAGGUCUUCGGAUCGUAAAACUCUGUUAUUAGGGAAGAACAAAUGUGUAAGUAACUAUGCACGUCUUGACGGUACCUAAUCAGAAAGCCACGGCUAACU